rnacentral:rRNA from 1 species
UCUGGACGGAGCAACGCCGCGUGAGUGAUGAAGGUUUUCGGAUCGUAAAACUCUGUUGUUAGGGAAGAACAAGUACCGUUCGAAUAGGGCGGUACCUUGACGGUACCUAACCAGAAAGCCACGGCUAACUACGUGCCAGCAGCCGCGGUAAUACGUAGGUGGCAAGCGUUGUCCGGAAUUAUUGGGCGUAAAGCGCGCGCAGGCGGUUUCUUAAGUCUGAUGUGAAAGCCCCCGGCUCAACCGGGGAGGGUCAUUGGAAACUGGGGAACUUGAGUGCAGAAGAGGAGAGUGGAAUUCCACGUGUAGCGGUGAAAUGCGUAGAGAUGUGGAGGAACACCAGUGGCGAAGGCGACUCUCUGGUCUGUAACUGACGCUGAGGCGCGAAAGCGUGGGGAGCGAACAGGAUUAGAUACCCUGGUAGUCCACGCCGUAAACGAUGAGUGCUAAGUGUUAGAGGGUUUCCGCCCUUUAGUGCUGCAGCAAACGCAUUAAGCACUCCGCCUGGGGAGUACGGUCGCAAGACUGAAACUCAAAGGAAUUGACGGGGGCCCGCACAAGCGGUGGAGCAUGUGGUUUAAUUCGAAGCAACGCGAAGAACCUUACCAGGUCUUGACAUCCUCUGACAACCCUAGAGAUAGGGCUUCCCCUUCGGGGGCAGAGUGACAGGUGGUGCAUGGU